rnacentral:rRNA from 1 species
GACGAGCGCUGGCGGCGUGCUUAACACAUGCAAGUCGAACGAUGAAGCCGGAGCUUGCUCCGGUGGAUUAGUGGCGAAUGGGUGAGUAACACGUGAGCAAUCUGCCCUUGACUCUGGGAUAACUGCGGGAAACUGUAGCUAAUACCGGAUACGACACCUUGGGGCAUCCCAGGGUGUGGAAAGAAUUUCGGUCAAGGAUGAGCUCGCGGCCUAUCAGCUAGUUGGUGAGGUAAUGGCUCACCAAGGCGACGACGGGUAGCCGGCCUGAGAGGGUGACCGGCCACACUGGAACUGAGACACGGUCCAGACUCCUACGGGAGGCAGCAGUGGGGAAUAUUGCACAAUGGGCGAAAGCCUGAUGCAGCAACGCCGCGUGAGGGAUGAAGGCCUUCGGGUUGUAAACCUCUUUUAGCAGGGAAGAAGCGAAAGUGACGGUACCUGCAGAAAAAGCACCGGCUAACUACGUGCCAGCCGCCGCGGUAA